UAGGGAAUCUUCGGCAAUGGGCGAAAGCCUGACCGAGCAACGCCGCGUGAAUGAAGAAGGCCUUCGGGUUGUAAAAUUCUGUUAUAAGGGAAGAAAGGUGAUAGGAGGAAAUGACUAUCAAUUGACGGUACCUUAUGAGAAAGCCACGGCUAACUACGUGCCAGCAGCCGCGGUAAUACGUAGGUGGCAAGCGUUAUCCGGAAUUAUUGGGCGUAAAGAGCGCGCAGGUGGUUAAUUAAGUCUGAUGUGAAAGCCCACGGCUUAACCGUGGAGGGUCAUUGGAAACUGGUUGACUUGAGUGCA
rnacentral:rRNA from 1 species